UAGCCUCGAUCCCAGGCCGAGUUUUCGCUUUUAUAACGGUUAGGCGAACAACUGGGCCUGGUACUAGUUGUCUGCGCAUGCGUCAAUCGUUCGUCAGAUUCUGACGAAUGGAUAUUCUCGUUCACUUUCGUGACAUUUAUAUUCGUGUACUAUCGUGUACUAGAAGUCAGUUCCCGUUUUAUCAUUAAUUGGAAUGGCUCUUAGCUGAAGCUUCUCUCUUCUCUGAAGCUUAUUCUGAAGACUGAACAACAAGGGAAGAGGUAUAAAGCUUUGUCAAGCUUGUUAAGGUCAGAUAUUUUUGUGUGGGCCCUAUGGCCGGCUAUGCUAUCAAGUCUUGUUCAUGUUUGGCAAGAAUGUAGGUAGACUAUAGUUUCAUCAUUAAUAUGGUGGAUCAAGUGAAGAGUGUGAGCUAGAGAACUUGGUGCUGCCAUCAUCAGCUCGUCGACAAUGACACUAUAACCGAGAAAUUUAAUAUGUAUAGAUCUACACGUAUUUAAAAUGUCUACUUCUCUGUACAGGAGCAAUGGCUAAUAUCCAGCUAUCCCAACAGUGCUCCUCUUGGCUAUACUAACGGACGAGACUGGACAGUUUGAGACACAGGACUGGAGUAUGACCUGCUCAUUCGAGCGUUGCUGGGUAGCUCAGAGACAUCAAGAGAAUCUACGUUUUCUCAAGCAAUGAGUUACGAGUUGGGGCCUAGAAUCAGAGAAGUCCAGCAGCCUGCUAAAUCUUUUUGAAACGUAAUUUGAAGGCAUUCAAUCAUCCUGAAGUUGCCCUGGGUCACUGUAAUUGUGCUGCAGCACAACUGGCAACUCCCCAGGCCUUUGUGAAGCAGCUCCCUAUGUGCAUCUUUUGUGUACUCACUCUGUGCAUUUUCUGUGUACAAAUUUCCAUUAUUGAUUUAUUAAAUAUUUUUGCCGACCACAAA